rnacentral:rRNA from 1 species
AUUGAACGCUGGCGGCAGGCCUAACACAUGCAAGUCGAACGAGUGGCGGACGGGUGAGUAAUGUCUGGGAAACUGCCCGAUGGAGGGGGGUAACUACUGGAAACGGUAGCUAAUACAGCAUACAAUAGGAUAUGCCCAGAUGGGAUUAGCUAGUAGGUGGGGUAACGACUCACCUAGGCGACGAUCCCUAGCUGGUCUGAGAGGAUGACCAGCCACACUGGAACUGAGACACGGUCCAGACUCCUACGGGAGGCAGCAGUGGGGAAUAUUGCACAAUGGUCGCAAGCCUGAUGCAGCCAUGCCGCGUGUAUGAAGAAGGCCUUCGGGUUGUAAAGUACUUUCAGCGAGGAGGCGUUACUCGCAGAAGAAGCACCGGCUAACUCCGUGCCAGCAGCCGCGGUAAUAC